UACGAAGGUGGCAAGCGUUGUUCGGAUUUACUGGGCGUACAGGGAGCGUAGGCGGUUGGAUAAGCCCUCCGUGAAAUCUCCAGGCUUAACCUGGAAAGUGCAGAGGGGACUGUUCAGCUAGAGGAUGGGAGAGGAGCGCGGAAUUCCCGGUGUAGCGGUGAAAUGCGUAGAGAUCGGGAAGAACAUCAGUGGCGAAGGCGGUCUGCUGGGCCGUUGCUGACGCUGAGGCGCGACAGCGUGGGGAGCAAACAGG
rnacentral:rRNA from 1 species